rnacentral:rRNA from 1 species
AACAUCCUUACGGGACAUCCCGUUAGGAUCAAAGGAAGCGAUUCCGGCCAGGGAUGGGCAUGCGGCGCAUUAGCUAGUCGGCGGGGUAACGGCCCACCGAGGCGACGAUGCGUAGGGGUUCUGAGAGGAAGGUCCCCCACACUGGUACUGAGACACGGACCAGACUCCUACGGGAGGCAGCAGUGAGGAAUAUUGGUCAAUGGGCGCGAGCCUGAACCAGCCAAGUCGCGUGAGGGAAGACGGUCCUAUGGAUUGUAAACCUCUUUUGCCGGGGAGCAAGCUGGGUCACGUGUGACCCAGCUGAGAGUACCCGGAGAAAAAGCAUCGGCUAACUCCGUGCCAGCAGCCGCGGUAAUACGGAGGAUGCGAGCGUUAUCCGGAUUUAUUGGGUUUAAAGGGUGCGUAGGCGGACUGUCAAGUCAGCGGUAAAAUUGAGAGGCUCAACCUCUUCCCGCCGUUGAAACUGGUGGUCUUGAGUGGAUGAGAAGUACGCGGAAUGCGUGGUGUAGCGGUGAAAUGCAUAGAUAUCACGCAGAACUCCGAUUGCGAAGGCAGCGUACCGGCAUCCAACUGACGCUGAGGCACGAAAGCGUGGGGAUCAAACAGGAUUAGAUACCCUGGUAGUCCACGCAGUAAACGAUGAAUGCUAGGUGUCCGGGUCGAGUGAGACCUGGGUGCCACAGCGAAAGCGUUAA